ACGGGUGAGUAACACGUGACUAACCUACCUUCGAGUGGGGGAUAACCCCGGGAAACCGGGGCUAAUACCGCAUAACAUCGCUGGGUGCAACUCCUGGCGAUCAAAGGGGUAAGACGCUUGAAGAGGGGGUCGCGGCUGAUUAGCUAGUUGGCGGGGUAACGGCCCACCAAGGCAGUGAUCAGUAGCCGGCCUGAGAGGGCGCACGGCCACACUGGAACUGAAACACGGUCCAGACUCCUACGGGAGGCAGCAGUGGGGAAUUUUGCGCAAUGGGGGAAACCCUGACGCAGCAACGCCGCGUGGAGGAUGAAGUCCCUUGGGACGUAAACUCCUUUCGACCGGGACGAUAAUGACGGUACCGGUGGAAGAAGCCCCGGCUAACUUCGUGCCAGCAGCCGCGGUAAUACGAGGGGGGCAAGCGUUGUUCGGAAUUAUUGGGCGUAAAGGGCGCGUAGGCGGUGCGGUAAGUCUCCUGUGAAAUCUCCGGGCUUAACUCGGAGCCUGCAGGGGAAACUGCCGUGCUGGAGUGUGGGAGAGGUGAGUGGAAUUCCCGGUGUAGCGGUGAAAUGCGUAGA
rnacentral:rRNA from 1 species